rnacentral:rRNA from 1 species
CAGCCGCCGCGGUAAUACGAGGGGGGCAAGCGUUGUUCGGAAUUAUUGGGCGUAAAGGGCGCGUAGGCGGUUUGGCAAGUUUGGUGUGAAAUCUUCGGGCUCAACUCGAAGUCUGCAUCGAAAACUGCCGGGCUUGAGUGUGGGAGAGGUGAGUGGAAUUUCCGGUGUAGCGGUGAAAUGCGUAGAUAUCGGAAGGAACACCUGUGGCGAAAGCGGCUCACUGGACCACAACUGACGCUGAGGCGCGAAAGCUAGGGGAGCAAACAGGAUUAGAUACCCCGGUAGUCCCUGUCUCUUAUAC